GGGGAUUUAGCUCAGUGGGAGAGCGCUUGCCUAGCAAGCACAAGGCCCUGGGUUCGGUCCCCAGCUCCG
rfam:Rattus norvegicus chromosome 2, whole genome shotgun sequence.